AUUAGAUACCCACUAUGCCUGACCGUAAACUUUAACUUACACCUUGAUCGUCAGGGAAUUACGAGCAAAGCUUAAAACCCAAAGGACUUGACGGUGCCCCAUAUCCCCCUAGAGGAGCCUGUCCUAUAAUCGAUAAUCCCCGUUUAACCUCACCACAUCUAGCCCAUCAGCCUGUAUACUUCCGUCGCAAGCCUACCACAUGAGCGACACCUAGUUAGCCCAAUGUCCACACAUAAAUGUGCUUACAUCGACAAUACGUCAGGUCAAAGUGCAGCAAAUGAUGUGGGAUGAGAUUGGCUACACUUUUUAAUUUAAAAAAAACGGAAAACAAUAAUGAAACUUUGUCAGAAGGUGGAUUUAGCAGUAAAAGGAAAAUAUAAAAUUUCUUUAAACUCGGCACUGGGGUGUGUACACACCGCCCGUCACCCUCUUCGAAAAUAUUAAAUUAGUACUUAACUCAUUACCAAAAAUAAAGAAGAGGCAAGUCGUAACAUGGUAAGCGUACCGGAAGGUGUGCUUGGAAA
rnacentral:rRNA from 1 species